rnacentral:rRNA from 1 species
GAUGAACGCUGGCGGCGUGCCUAAUACAUGCAAGUCGAGCGAACGGACGAGAAGCUUGCUUUUCUGAUGUUAGCGGCGGACGGGUGAGUAACACGUGGAUAACCUACCUAUAAGACUGGGAUAACUUCGGGAAACCGGAGCUAAUACCGGAUAAUAUUUUGAACCGCAUGGUUCAAAAGUGAAAGACGGUCUUGCUGUCACUUAUAGAUGGAUCCGCGCUGCAUUAGCUAGUUGGUAAGGUAACGGCUUACCAAGGCAACGAUGCAUAGCCGACCUGAGAGGCUGAUCGGCCACACUGGAACUGAGACACGUUCCAGACUCCUACGGGAGGCAGCAGUAGGGAAUCUUCCGCAAUGGGCGAAAGCCUGACGGAGCAACGCCGCGUGAGUGAUGAAGGUCUUCGGAUCGUAAAACUCUGUUAUUAGGGAAGAACAUAUGUGUAAGUAACUGUGCACAUCUUGACGGUACCUAAUCAGAAAGCCACGGCUAACUACGUG